rnacentral:rRNA from 1 species
AGAGUUUGAUCCUGGCUCAGAACGAACGCUGGCGGGNNNAUAAGACAUGCAAGCGAGCGCUGAUUGCAGGGUAGCAAUAUUCUGCAGUUGGAGCGGCGCAAGGGUGCGUAACACGUGGGCAAUCUGCCGUGAAGUCGGGGACAACUUGCUGAAAGGCGAGCUAAUACCGGAUGUAAAAAUUGGAAGGCAUCUUCUGAUUUUCAAAGCUGGGGACCGUAAGGCCUGGCGCUUCAUGAUGAGCCCGCGGCCUAUCAGCUAGUUGGUGAGGUAACGGCUCACCAAGGCUAAGACGGGUAGCUGGUCUGAGAGGACGACCAGCCACACUGGAACUGAGACACGGUCCAGACACCUACGGGUGGCAGCAGUCGAGAAUUUUUCACAAUGGGCGAAAGCCUGAUGGAGCGACGCCGCGUGGGGGAUGAAUGGCUUCGGCCCGUAAACCCCUGUCAUUUGCGAUCAAACCUCAUCAUUUAAAAGAUGAUGAGCUGAUAGUAGCGAAAGAGGAAGGGACGGCUAACUCUGUGCCAGCAGCCGCGGUAAUACAGAGGUCCCAAGCGUUGUUCGGAUUCACUGGGCGUAAAGGGUGCGUAGGUGGCGGGGUAAGUCGGAUGUGAAAGCUCGGAGCUCAACUCCGAAAUGGCAUUGAAAACUACCUUGCUCGAGGGUUGGAGGGGGGACUGGAAUUCUCGGUGUAGCAGUGAAAUGCGUAGAUAUCGAGAGGAACACCAGUGGCGAAGGCGAGUCCCUGGACAACUCCUGACACUGAGGCACGAAAGCUAGGGGAGCAAACAGGAUUAGAUACCCUAGUAGUCC